UUGAACGCUGGCGGCAGGCCUAACACAUGCAAGUCGAGCGGAUGAAGGGAGCUUGCUCCUGGAUUCAGCGGCGGACGGGUGAGUAAUGCCUAGGAAUCUGCCUGGUAGUGGGGGAUAACGUCCGGAAACGGGCGCUAAUACCGCAUACGUCCUGAGGGAGAAAGUGGGGGAUCUUCGGACCUCACGCUAUCAGAUGAGCCUAGGUCGGAUUAGCUAGUUGGUGGGGUAAAGGCCUACCAAGGCGACGAUCCGUAACUGGUCUGAGAGGAUGAUCAGUCACACUGGAACUGAGACACGUUCCAGACUCCUACGGGAGGCAGCAGUGUGGAAUAUUGGACAAUGGGCGAAAGCCUGAUCCAGCCAUGCCGCGUGUGUGAAGAAGGUCUUCGGAUUGUAAAGCACUUUAAGUUGGGAGGAAGGGCAGUAAGUUAAUACCUUGCUGUUUUGACGUUACCAACAGAAUAAGCACCGGCUAACUUCGUG
rnacentral:rRNA from 1 species